rnacentral:rRNA from 1 species
GACGAACGCUGGCGGCGUGCUUAACACAUGCAAGUCGAACGAUGAAAGCUGGAGCUUGCUCCGGCUGGAUUAGUGGCGAACGGGUGAGUAACACGUGAGCAAUCUGCCCUUGACUCUGGGAUAACUCCGAGAAAUCGGUGCUAAUACCGGAUAUGACCCUUGGCGGCAUCGCUGGGGGUGGAAAGUUUUUCGGUCAAGGAUGGACUCGCGGCCUAUCAGCUUGUUGGUGAGGUAAUGGCUCACCAAGGCGACGACGGGUAGCCGGCCUGAGAGGGUGACCGGCCACACUGGGACUGAGACACGGCCCAGACUCCUACGGGAGGCAGCAGUGGGGAAUAUUGCACAAUGGGCGCAAGCCUGAUGCAGCAACGCCGCGUGAGGGAUGACGGCCUUCGGGUUGUAAACCUCUUUUAGUAGGGAAGAAGCGAAAGUGACGGUACCUGCAGAAAAAGCACCGGCUAACUACGUGCCAGCCGCCGCCGUAA